UUGAUUUGUUCAAUUUGUUGUACCACCGUAGAACUUGGUGAAUUUUGUAUAGUUCUCUGCUUUUUCCCUACAUUUCUCCUGCUACUGCCGGAGCUACACCAGUGGUAGCGGUGACAUCCCCUUUUUGACUUUUGAGUCGUGGUAUUUUCUAUAUUUUCAGGGAAAUUUUCGAAGUUUUUGGAGAAGUUGGGUGCACGAGCACUAGCAAAAG
rnacentral:lncRNA from 1 species